AAAACUUUCAACAACGGAUCUCUUGGUUCUGGCAUCGAUGAAGAACGCAGCGAAAUGCGAUAAGUAAUGUGAAUUGCAGAAUUCAGUGAAUCAUCGAAUCUUUGAACGCAUAUU
rnacentral:rRNA from 1 species